rnacentral:rRNA from 1 species
AGUAAGAGCCCUGAGAGAUGAUCAGGUAGAUAGGUUGGAAGUGGAAGUGUGGCGACACAUGUAGCGGACCAAUACUAAUCGCUCGAGGACUUAUCCAAA